rnacentral:rRNA from 1 species
GACGAAGGGGGCUAGCGUUGUUCGGAAUUACUGGGCGUAAAGCGCACGUAGGCGGAUCAGCAAGUUAGGGGUGAAAUCCCGGGGCUCAACCCCGGAACUGCCUUUAAAACUGUUGGUCUGGAGUCCGAGAGAGGUGAGUGGAAUUCCGGGUGUAGAGGUGAAAUUCGUAGAUAUUCGGAGGAACACCAGUGGCGAAGGCGGCUCACUGGCUCGGUACUGACGCUGAGGUGCGAAAGCGUGGGGAGCAAACAGG